CCUACGGGAGGCUGCAGUGGGGAAUAUUGGACAAUGGGCGAAAGCCUGAUCCAGCCAUGCCGCGUGUGUGAAGAAGGCCUUCGGGUUGUAAAGCACUUUCAGUGGGGAAGAAAGCCUUGGGGCUAAUACCCUCGAGGAAGGACAUCACCCACAGAAGUAGCACCGGCUAACUCCGUGCCAGCAGCCGCGGUAAUACGGAGGGUGCGAGCGUUAAUCGGAAUUACUGGGCGUAAAGCGCGCGUAGGCGGUCUGAUAAGCCGGUUGUGAAAGCCCCGGGCUCAACCUGGGAACGGCAUCCGGAACUGUCAGGCUAGAGUGCAGGAGAGGAAGGUAGAAUUCCCGGUGUAGCGGUGAAAUGCGUAGAGAUCAGGAGGAAUACCAGUGGCGAAGGCGGCCUUCUGGACUGACACUGACGCUGAGGUGCGAAAGCGUGGGUAGCAAACAGGAUUAGAUACCCCUGUAGUC
rnacentral:rRNA from 1 species